rnacentral:rRNA from 1 species
GAGUUUGAUUCUGGCUCAGGAGGAACGCUGGCGGCGUGCCUAACACAUGCAAGUCGAGCGAGAAAUAAAGAAACGGAGAAUUCGUUCAAAGAUUCUUUAUGGAAAGCGGCGGACGGGUGAGUAACGCGUAGGCAACCUGCCUCAUACAAAGGGAUAGCCUCGGGAAACCGGGAUUAAAACCUUAUAAAACCGAAGGAGCACAUGCUUCAUCGGUCAAAGAUUUAUCGGUAUGAGAUGGGCCUGCGUCUGAUUAGCUGGUUGGUGAGGUAACGGCUCACCAAGGCGACGAUCAGUAGCCGACCUGAGAGGGUAAACGGCCACAUUGGAACUGAGACCCGGUCCAAACUCCUACGGGAGGCAGCAGUGGGGAAUAUUGCACAAUGGGCGAAAGCCUGAUGCAGCAACGCCGCGUGAGUGAUGAAGGCCCUUGGGUCGUAAAACUCUGUUGAGAGGGAAGAAAAAAAAGACG